ACGGCCAUACCAUGCUGAGAGCACCGAUUCUCGUCUGAUCACCGCAGCUAAGCAGCAUCGGGCGCUGUCAGUACUUGGGAGGGCGACCACCUGGGGACACCGUCUGCUG